rnacentral:rRNA from 1 species
CCUACGGGAGGCAGCAGUGAGGAAUAUUGGUCAAUGGACGAGACUCUGAACCAGCGACGCCGCGUGAAGGAAGAAUGCUCUUUGGGUUGUAAACUCCUUUUAUAAGGGAAUAAAACAAGGCACGUGUGCCAUUAUGCAUGUACUUUAUGAAUACGGAUCGGCUAACGCCGGGAAAGCAGCCGCCGUAAUCCGGAUGCGCCGUGCGUUAUCCGGAUUUAUUGGGUGUAAAGGGCGCGUAGAUGGGUUGGUAAGUCGGGUGUGAAAGUUUGGGGCUCAACCGUAAAACUGCAAGUGAUACUGGGAGUCUUGAGUACAGGUGGGGUAAGCGGAAUUCGUGGUGUAGCGGUGAAAUGCGUAGAUAUCACGAGGAACCCCAGUUGCGAAGGCAGCUUACUAGACUGUAACUGACGUUGAGGCUCGAAAGUGUGGGGAGCAAACAGGAUUAGAUACCCUAGUAGUC